rnacentral:rRNA from 1 species
AGUGAACGCUGGCGGUAGGCCUAACACAUGCAAGUCGAACGGCAGCACAGUAAGAGCUUGCUCUUACGGGUGGCGAGUGGCGGACGGGUGAGGAAUACAUCGGAAUCUACUUUUUCGUGGGGGAUAACGUAGGGAAACUUACGCUAAUACCGCAUACGACCUACGGGUGAAAGCAGGGGAUCUUCGGACCUUGCGCGAUUGAAUGAGCCGAUGUCGGAUUAGCUAGUUGGCGGGGUAAAGGCCCACCAAGGCGACGAUCCGUAGCUGGUCUGAGAGGAUGAUCAGCCACACUGGAACUGAGACACGGUCCAGACUCCUACGGGAGGCAGCAGUGGGGAAUAUUGGACAAGGGGCGCAAGCCUGAUCCAGCCAUACCGUGUGGGUGAAGAAGGCCUUCGGGUUGUAAAGCCCUUUUGUUGGGAAAGAAAAGCAGCAGGUUAAUACCCCGCUGUUCUGACGGUACCCAAAGAAUAAGCACCGGCUAACUUCG